CAGGAUCAGUGGAUGGGAAUAAGAAGGAACAAUUUUGGCUCAACAGAAUCUUUGUUUGUCAUCCUUAGGUUCCUUGCACUUUCCCUUAUCCCGUGGGAAUCACAGCUUCACUGUAUCUUUGGCAAAAUCAUCUCUUGAUAAAAUUAGAGGGGUCUUGAUCUGCAGGUCACAAUAAUUUAGAAUCCAAGUUUUAUACUUGGCUUUGGCUAUUGAAUGAUUUGAUCGGUUUCUGUGGAGUAUCUGUCUCUCAAAACUCAAAAGAGUCAUGUCAGGCCCAAACGACGAUAACAUGUCUCCUCAUACUCAGCUUUCAUCACAUUUUUUUGGGGAUCUCCUCGAUUCCAUUAUUGUUGAUGUUGCCUCUGAGUGUCACCGGAUAGCAAAGUUGGGACUUGAUCGCAACCUGGAGGAAGAGGAAGAAGAAUUGAGAUUAUCAACACAAGCCCGUGUUAGGGCAGCUGAUCCUAGUAAUAGUGGUGAAGCAAAUAGCAAGUAUGUGGUUGACAUUUUUGGACAAACUCAUCCACCUGUUGCAAAUGAAAUAUUUGAGUGCAUGAAUUGUGGGCGAUCAAUCAUGGCUGGGAGGGUUGCUCCUCCUCUCAUUUGGAAAAGUGCAUGGGAAAGGGUAGGAAGGCUCGACUCAAGGCAACCAGAAGUAGCACAGCAGCACAGAACCGGUAUUCACGAGGCAGCCCUGUUUCCACAUACUCUCCUUACUCAAAUUCAUCCAGCACGAACAGGUUAUCAAAUGGAACACCUGGUGUUGCAGGUGAAGAGUAUUCAAAUGGCACAUUAGAGGAGCCAUGAAGCACUGUUUAUGUUAGGUUGGCUAACAAGUCAUAGAAAAGCAACACACCUGGGGAUUCUUUUUCUUUUUAUAAAUCAUGAGCUUAAUUAUGGAUUUUUAAAGCAUAAUCUAUCACUAACCAUAUUUACUGAUAGAUUAUG
rnacentral:misc_RNA from 1 species